AGGACGAACGCUGGCGGCGUGCUUAACACAUGCAAGUCGAGCGGUAAGGCCCUUUCGGGGGUACACGAGCGGCGAACGGGUGAGUAACACGUGGGUGACCUGCCCUUAGCUCUGGGAUAAGCCUGGGAAACUGGGUCUAAUACCGGAUAUGACCUCGCGAUGCAUGUCGUGGGGUGGAAAGCCUUGUGCGGCUAGGGAUGGGCCCGCGGCCUAUCAGCUUGUUGGUGGGGUGAUGGCCUACCAAGGCGACGACGGGUAGCCGGCCUGAGAGGGCGACCGGCCACACUGGGACUGAGACACGGCCCAGACUCCUACGGGAGGCAGCAGCGGGGAAUCUUGCGCAAUGGGCGAAAGCCUGACGCAGCGACGCCGCGUGAGGGAUGACGGCCUUCGGUUGUAACCUCUUUCAGCCCUGACGAAGCGAAAGUGACGGUAGGGGCGAGAAGAAGCACCGGCCAACUACGCGCCAGCAGCCGCGGUAA
rnacentral:rRNA from 1 species